rnacentral:rRNA from 1 species
UACAGAGGUCUCAAGCGUUGUUCGGAUUCAUUGGGCGUAAAGGGUGCGUAGGUGGCGGGGUAAGUCAGGUGUGAAAUUUCGGAGCUUAACUCCGAAACUGCAUUUGAUACUGCGGUGCUUGAGGACUGGAGAGGAGACUGGAAUUCACGGUGUAGCAGUGAAAUGCGUAGAUAUCGUGAGGAAGACCAGUGGCGAAGGCGGGUCUCUGGACAGUUCCUGACACUGAGGCACGAAGGCUAGGGGAGCAAACGGG